UGAUUAGUAUCAUUCAACACUAUUUGCAAAUCAUCUUCACUAUCACUGUCUUCUUCCCAAUCUUCAUCUCCCUCUCCGCUGACUCGACCACCGGCAACGUCAGCAUCACUCUUCCUAGAAUCCUCGGUGUCAACGGUGAGUCCAGGGAUCAUCGGACCUGAAUCUUCAAUAAUUCCAGUAUUUAUCUCCUCGAUAUCAAAAUUGAUCUCUUCAUCCUGCUUAUCGGAUUGAAAAUCAGUACUAUUUGAAGCAUUAUUAGGUAAUUUCGCCUCAGAAGAGCCCAAAACCCUAGGUCUAGUAGCUGAAUUAAUGUCAGUAGGGAUUGAAUUCUCAACAGAAUUUAGUGGGGUUUGAUCGAAGGGAACAGGGGGAUUGCGGCCGGAUACACCAUGGAGGAUUUCGUCACCCUCGAUGUCUUUUCUGUGGUUCUGAAGAACGAGAUCAAUCGGACGUUGAAUCGAUGAAGGUGCGGGAGAGGAAUGUUGAGGCUGCGGAGCAGAAGGUGCAGAUGAGGAGAAGGGUCGCAGCACGUCCGUGUAGAGAUCUCC
rnacentral:misc_RNA from 1 species